rnacentral:rRNA from 1 species
AUGUUUUGCAAUAAACACCUCGCAAUUUUAAAAAUAGUAGCAAACAAGUACACGACUCCUCCUUCCUCCGUCCGGCGCCCGUGCGUCGCCAGGGGCAGGGGCCGGCGCCGUGGGAUUCCUCCGCCGCGCUGGAGAUUCUGGCGCUCGCAACCCACUCGCAAUCACCCACCGCCGCACACCCGCCACCAGCUGCCCGCCGAUUCCGCUGUCCAUCGCCGUGACCACCAGGCGAACUGGUCCUCGAUCCGCCGCGACCACCUGUCGGCGCCCAGCUGCGUGAUUCCGCCGCCCACCCGCGUGAUCAGCCACUACGGCGCCGCCCACCUGCACCUGCAACGCCGCGAACCUCCGCGAUUCCGCCGCAAUCUUUCCCUGCGCCCCGUCUCUGCUGCUGGGAGACACCGAUCGGCCCAGCCUCUCCUUCUCUGCCGGCUCCUUCCUCGUCGGCUGUGA